rnacentral:lncRNA from 1 species
CUGAAAGGUCCAUUGGGUGUAUAGGCUGGUGCUGGUUCUGGUGCUGGUGCUUUAUUUCUGUGAGCAACCAUUUUGUGACCAUGCUUUCUUGAAGAGAUGUUUGGGGUGUGGUUGAUUGUUCUUAAUGAGGUUUUGCUGGUUUGAGGUCCAGGAAGUUUAUUGGCAGCGCCCUCCAAUAAGAAGUACAGUAUUGUUUGUCACUGUUUUUGGUCAUCUUGUGGUCAGCUGAAUCUCUGUGAAAGCGCUGUUGUAUUUCGGAAAACUAUCUAGUGGAAUUAACAGAUCUAAGAAGUCCUGUUGGUGUACUCUUGGUAAUGUUUGACAUUUGUCGGUGUCAAACAAGCAAACCUAAUCGUGAACUUGAAUAAACUUUGCUUGUUCUUUAUCUGCCUCUGUACUGUUUCCCUUUAAAGGGCCUAAAACCUGUAAUGCUUAAAUGUCAC